rnacentral:rRNA from 1 species
CCAUUUAAAGAGGUACGCGAGCUGGGUUUAGAACGUCGUGAGACAGUUCGGUCCCUAUCUACCGUGGGCGCUGGAAAUUUGAGAGGAUCUGCUCCUAGUACGAGAGGACCAGAGUGGACGAACCUCUGGUGUACCGGUUGUGACGCCAGUCGCAUCGCCGGGUAGCUAUGUUCGGAAGGGAUAACCGCUGAAAGCAUCUAAGCGGGAAGCCUACCUCAAGAUAAGAUUUCCCUAGGACUUUAUGUCCUCUAAAGAGCCGUUCGAGACUAGGACGUUGAUAGGUUGGAUGUGGAAGCAUAGUGAUAUGUGAAGCUGACCAAUACUAAUUGCUCGUGAGGCUUGACUAUACAACACCCAAGCAGUUG